UGUAGACUGUGUAAAUUGUAGACGAUCAAUUGAAAAUAUUUUCAAUUUUAAAGUGUGUUUCGCUCAAUCGUUGAACAAAAUGAUUUCGAAAUUUGUGUUGCUUACUUUGGCAAUUGCCUUGUUGCUGUGCUGCUGUUAUGUUCAAGCGCAACAAUCAGAUUACUCAACUUUCGAUUACAACACGCACGGACGUAGGUCAGUAGAUCCCGAGUCUGGCGCUGUAGAUUGCGUUUCUGGGGAAGUGUGCGAUCCGAUUGAUUGAAUGGAUUGAAGUGCGUUUAUUGAGAAGUUGCGAUAAAGCACUUUCAAAUAGUGAAAUUGAUGAUAAAUCUCCUAAAAAUAUCUAAGAAAUAAAUUAAAUCCACGAUUUUCAAAAAAUUAAA